GCUACUCGAAAACUUUUUGUUUUGUGGCUAAGUUGGAGUAAGAUUUUUUUUUUCCGGUGGCAUCUAGAAAACUCGAAAACUCACUCCGACGGAAAAUCCGAGGAACCAUUCCUCUUUCUCUAACCUAUUUGUUUCUCUCUCCUCAAAUCUGAGAAAAAAUGACGAUUAAUAUAAUUUCCUCCUCUUUCACACCUCUUUUGCUAACAACAACAACAAUACUACCGACCCUUCCCCCAACCACUCAGAUGAAAUGGAAUUAGGUUCACCACUACAUCGUUUUUAAGAUUGAUGAGAUGUCCGACGGAUUCACUGUCGAUAAGGUCGGCGCCUCCGGUGAGGGUAAAGAAAAUCUCACCGCCUCGCUUCCCGAUUACCAAAACCAAACUACGCAAUCUUUGAUUUUGAGUUGUCACCCUAGAUAACCGUAGCAAGAGAAAGAUAUUCUUCAUUGUUAUUGACGCCUUUAUCUUUUUUUUAAUCCUUUAUUUCUUUCUUUCUUUAUCUUUCUUUUAUUUAGUACUCCAUCACUUGGAUGAUUUAGUUUUGACCUUAAUUUUAUGAUCUUAAUUUUAAACUUAGGUUCAAAACAACAACUAUUUUUAGUUUUUUCUUAUUUUGGGGGAAAUGAUUGGGUUUUUUUUAUUGAAAAUCACAUGAUUUUGAGUUCGAUGAUUUAUGGGAUUUUUCGGGGUUUGUUCAAAUAAUGUUUCUGGGUUUUUACCAUUCAUUACUUCAUGCAAAAUCUUGAUUUAUGGAAAUUGUUGGAUAUUUAGGGGUUGAAUUAGGUGUUGUGAAUUGUAUUUAGAUUGUUGAUUGUCGUUGUUAGUAUUUUUGCAAGUUGGUGAUUUUUGGGUUUACUAAUUGUUUUCACUUGCUAAAUUAGACUGAUUUGUUUAGCUUUAGAUUUAAUUUUUCAUUGUACUAAUUCAAUUUAUUUAUUUAUUUUUGUACUAAUAUGAAAUUAGAUUUGAUUGUUUUUGUUAUUUUUGUGGGAUUGUUCACUUGUUAAUUUGGCUGAUUUGUUUAGCUUUAGAUUUGUUAAUUUGUUUAGUUCUAUUGAGUUUGUGUAAAGACCAUGACUUAUAGGGUUUUAUUCUUAAAAUUAUAUGUCCUUCUAUAAUAUGUCUUUCAUAUACUUCUUUUGUCUUUCUUAUUUAUUUUCAUGCUUAAUUUAACAUUGUGUAAUAAUGAAGUGGGGGCUAUAGUGAAUUUGAGAACAAAUAGUUUAUCUAGAUCAACAUUGCAUAGUUAAAUUCAUUUUGGAUCUGAAGUGUUGGAUUUUACUUUUGUUUCAAAUUAUGUGAAGGUGGGGAAUUGCUUGAUCAAAUUUUGUCCAUAUAACAUUUACUUUAAUCAAUCUUCGAUUCUUUGUCGUUGUGAUUCUAAGAUUGCUUGGUAGUAAGGGGAUUUUUUUUUGCAGAGAUGGAAGGUACCUUGAAAAAGACGCAAAGAUCAUUAUCAAAUAGAUUCUGAACUUCGUAUCAUUCUGUCAUCUCCAGGGUGUUGUUCACCGUGAUCUGAAACUCGAGGAGGAGAUUUCUAAUCUAGAGACUUGAAUCACAACGUGGCCCUCGUACUUAGGUAUUCAAGAUUUUCAAUAAACAGAUUUGUAGAGAUAACUUGCGGGAGAAGUUAUCUAGCAUGGGGAUGUGUUGAGCGUUGUUUUCUCCUGCAUUCUAAACUCUAUUAUUUUCUGUUAGUCUAGACUAUUAAAACAUUUUUCCUAAUGGAUUCUUAAUUGAUUUGGUUUUGGGCCAUUAUGGUUCCAACUUGUAUGGAGGCCAUUAACUAUUACUAAAUGUUUUGAAUGUUAGCUAUAAUUCCGCUGCGUAAUUCUGGUACUAGCCUUAACCGUUAUCACGCUGGCGGUAAUACUUUAGUAAUUCCUUGAUUUUAAGUUGGAAAAUGGUUUAAUAAAGACAAGGAAUUAUUAAGGUGUUACACUUGGCGCUUGCCUCAAGCCCACACGCGCAGGCCUUGCUAGGCGAUGGACCUUGUGCCUGGCGUUGGCCUAUCGAGCCUUGCAGGAAUGCUCGUUGAGCGAUGGGCUGGCUCGCUUGCCGGCUUGUCUCUCGUCGUGCUUCCGAUUCGUUUUCUGAUUCCAUAAUUUAUUUAUGAUUCGAACGAUAUUUACGUUUCCGAUAACAUUUCCGAUUCCGACAAUAUUUUCCAAUUUGGACAAUAUUUCCUAUUUCGAUAAUAUAUCCGUUUCCGGCAAUAUUUCUGAUUCCGACAAUAUUUCUACUUCACUUAAUAUUUUCCGAAACGAACCAUAUUUCCGUUUCUGGUAAUAUCUUCGACUUCGAUAAUAUUUAUAUUUCCUUCAUGAACCAUAUUUCUGUUUCUGGCAAUAUCUUCAUUUCCGGCAAAUAUUCUUUCUUUGCCUUUUGAUGAUUUUAGCUCCCACUGAAACCAACAUCCAUCGAUCAUUUCUGAAUGUCCAUAAUUAGAGUAUUUACUGAAUAUUAUAUUCACCUAAGUACUUGAUUCAUUCAUGUACUAUUUGUGUGACCCUAUGGGUUCAGUCAAGGGUAAGCUGUGUCAUUAAUAUUAUUAAUUCCACUUGAACUGAAACAGCUUCUAGCUAGGCAUUUUGAUCACUUGAUCUCACUGAAUAAUUAACUUGUUUAAUAAAUAUUGAACCACAUUUAUUAGACUUUAACAUAAUGAUGCCCUUAGUCCAAGUCUGCAUUUAAUGCUAAGUGCCUAAGUCUAAUAAAUGCGGUUAAAUAUGAAUUAAGCAAGUUAAUUAUUCAGUGUGAUCAAGUGAUCUGAAUGCCUAGCUAGAGGUCACUUCAGUUCAAGUGGAAUUAAUGUUAUUACUGCCACAACAUACUCUUGACUGAACCCGUAGGGUCACACAAAUAGUACGCGAAUGGAUCAAGUAUUUGGGUGAAUAUUAUAUUCAGUAAAUACUCUAAUUAUGGAUAUUCGGAAAUGACGGAUGUUGGUUUCAGUGGGAGCUAAACAAACUGUCAAAAGGCAAAGAAAGAAUAUUUGCCAGAAAUGAAGAUAUUACCGAAAACGGAAAUAUGGUUCGUAUCGGAAAUAUUAUCGGAAAUAGAAAUAUUGUUAGAAUCGGAAAUGUUGCCGCAAAAGGAAAUAUUACCGGAAUUGGAAAUAUUGUCGAAAUCGGAUUUAUUGUCGGAAUCGGAAAUACUAUCGGAAACGUAAAUAUUGUUCGAAUUGAUUUUUUUUUGAAUCGGAAAACAAAUCGGAAGCACGAAUCGUGCGACGAGCUAUCGUACGUACGAUGGCCUAUCACUCAAUGGGUCGUGGCAGCAACGCCAAGCUGUUGGGCUAGCGCGCCAACAAGCAAGGGUCAGCGCUGCUGGCCAGCACGCAUGGCAGCAACAAGCUGGGCUGCACUAUUGUGCUGUUAGGCCGCUGCUUGUGCUAGCACGCAUGGGCAACUUGCGUGCCAAGCUCCCUUUCUAUGAAAGCAGCUUGUGCGCGUGCCAAGCUGUCGGUUGCCUUAAAUGGUUUAUUUGGGUUUUGGUAUUUUUGUGAAAAUUUCCUAAAACUUAAAAUAAAGAUUUUGUGCAUGUUUCCUAAAAACUAAUGUUUCCUAAACUUUAAUAUUAAGGUUAUGAAAACUUAGGGUUUUCCUAUUUCCUAUAUAUACGUGGUCUAUGAUCAUAAUAUACACAUGAGUUUUAAUAGUUUGCCUAUCACAUUAAAAGUGAGAUCCCAAAUUAAUAAUACCUUAGAUUAAAUCCUAUUGAUUGAACCUAAGGCGGAUCCGAACGUGUUGUGGACUUUCUACGGAGGGACGACGUUUGGCGUUCUAACUUGUUCUUAUUCGGUUCGGGAACACCUAGGGAAGGCACGCAUCACAAAUUGUGUUCACUAAAUUAUUCUAAAUGAUUAUGUGCAUUUGGCAUUUAUGGUUUAUUCCGCAUGACAUUAGAUUGUUCAUAACCUAACACUUUAUGAUUUCCUUCCAAGUGGAUUUUAUACUUCUGAAUCUUUGACCUGGCCAAAUAGAUUCAAACUUAUAUCACAUUGAGUAAAUAAACCAAUAUUCACUCAAAUCCAGGUGAAAUAAUAAAGUCAAAAAAUCUUACUUUAGCUUUGAACUCUAUUGUGUAGGAGUUCUAACAAUAGUUUAUUUCUUUUGUUACUUUCAACAAGUAAGAGUAGCUUGUCUUGAAUGAUCUAGAAAUCAAUAAACUUUCAAAAAUCCAUCAAAUUAGAGUUUUACAAUGUUAACUUGUUGAUAUGGUCUAAAUAACAAUGCCAAAGAUUAGUGUAACUCAAAUCAAGAGAUUGAUUUGAACCUAGUAAAGUUUUUAUUGUUAAAGAGUUGUUUGUUUUAAUCAAGCAUACACGAAUAAACCUGUAAAUGACCAUUUCAUACAAACAAUCAAACAGUGUUUUUUUAUACGUUGAAUGUGAGUCUUUCUGUGUUUGGAACAGAAAUUUAGGUAUGUCGAUUAUGGAACAAAGUAGCCAUUAAGUUCCAUCCUUGAAGGGACUUAAAACAAACUAGAUGACCCUACAACUAAUGUAGCAAUGCCAUGCUUCAUUUCCCACUUGUAGGUCAUUAGUGUAGCCUAGCUUCCAUCAUUUGAGUUAUUACCGAAGUAAGAACCUCAAGCGGUAUACGAUACCAAGGAAGUUUGAUUGCUAGGUUACUUUUCUUUAAACAUAAACUUAUAGGUAGAAACAGAAUUGUAAAUUCCUUUCACUUGUUCCUUGUUUUCCUAUUUCUUGUACCCUUUCUUAUAGUAUGAAGAAUUGACUUCUUUAGUGUUGACUUUUAUAAUUUUUUAGACAUGUCCAAUGUCACUUCAACAAAGUUCUUACCAUUUUAUUUUUUUUGAAUAUUUUACUUCAGCUAGAUGAUCUCACAAGAAUCUUCUAAAUUUGUCUAAGCAUCGAUCUAUUCGAAUGUCUACGGGCUAGACUCAUUCGAGAAUUAAAUGGACAAAGAUAUUAAGUUUUUAACCAUUGCUAAAGUUGAGUGUUAAACUCAAUGCUUUAUGAUCUCAAAACUACAUUGUAUUUUGAAUCUACAAGCACCAAUUGAUUUGACAUUCGACUUUGUUAGUCGAAAAAACACAUAAAAGUCUCUAUAAGAAACGUAUAUUUUAAAUUACUCAUUUUCUCUCAUUUCCGUGAAUCAUUUUGGAUUCACUACCAAUCAAGGAAAUUUGCUGUUACCUUUCUAAACGGAUUUAUUGCAGUGGAAGAUAUUUCAUUAUAAACAAUAAUUGAAGCAUGCAAAUUCUAAAAAUUUAUCAUGAGUAAUAACUUGAAAAUUAAAGCAAUUAUGCAAUUUAAACAAGUCAUUAACAUUUUAUUCGAAAUAUUUAGUUCCGAAAGGUGUGAAUAAAAUGAAUCCAAGAUCCUCAAAUCAUUGAAAAUUAAUGUAACACCCUAAUAAUUCCUUGCUUUUUAUAAAACAUUUUCCAACUUGAAACACAGGAAUUACCAAGAUAUUACCGCCACCGUGAUAACAGCUAAGACUAUUUACCAGAAUUACGCAGCGGAAUUAACUAACUUUCAAAACAUAUUAAAUAAAGAGUUAAUGGUUAUUAAAACAAGUUGGAACCACUGAGGCUCAAUCCAAAUAAACCGUUUAAAAAUCCAUUAACUGAAAAUAGUAGUCAUGACUUUAAAAUAAAAUAAAGAGUUUAUAAAUUACGUAAGAAUAGAACUCUCAACUCGAAUCCCAUGAUAACUUCUCCCGCAAGUUAUCUCUACAAACCUGCGUUAUUGAAAAUCUAUUCCCUAACAACGCAAAUGCAAUUGAUGGAUCAUCAUAGGGUAAUUAAGGCGAAGGCCAUGACUAAAAGACAUGAAGCACGAAGUCAGCGAAAGCUGAGUACGGACAAGCUAAAAUAACAUUCUAUCCUAACAUGCUUCACUCGGCAAUAUUAAAUAAUCAACAUGCAAAAGCCAUAUAAUAAACAAUUAAACAUGGAGACAAGACUCGACACAUGACACGACUCUUGACUCACAGUUUAAUAAAAAGUAGCUUCGAACGGGUAAAUUAAAGUAUCCUCAAAAGGAAAGAAAAGGGUGAUGGGAGCCAGUGGCGGAUUUAGAAAAAAUAUUUAGUGGGUGCAAAAUAGAAAUUACAAACUUUAGUGGGUUCAAAUAAUUAAUUUUAUAACAAAUUUUGAAGAAAAUCUUAAAAAUAUAAAGAAAUUUUUUAAAUUUUCACAAUUCAAGUGGGGUCAAUUGACCCCAAUCUUUCUACAUUGGCUCCGCCCCUGAUGGGAGCCCACCAUGCACCACAUAAUAAUAAGUCGGACUCCUACCGACAGUCGGAUCCUACCGACGGAAUUCCAAUGCACAAAGGCCUAAAAAGAAAGAAUGAAACAACGUCUUGUAUCAUUCGAGGAGUACAAGUUUUCCGGCAAGUCUCCCCCCAUUGUUCAUACUCAAGGUAUAUACGUUCCAAGAGUUUUGAAGCUCCUUUGGGUUACACUUUACGUUAAUUAAUAUGUUAUGUUCAAGGCGACUCAAGACACAACAUACAAACAAUUAAACAAUUAAACAAUUCAAAAAUGACUCUUCAAUAUUUUACUUCUUUAAGACUUGUGAUCAAACAUAGACUCAAGUGAAAUUACUCCCAUUGUUCCUUCUCAAAAACACUGUUUGAGAUAACCCGACAUUGCCUAUUAACAAGCGGGGUGUGCCCUUAACACGAAUUGUCCUUAAUUCAAUUCACAUAGACUCUUCAACAUAUUCUACCCCUUGGUAGAAUAUAUGUUGCUCACUGGCAACAUUCGAUUGGCUCAAUAAUUAUGCUAGACAUCCUGUAUCAUAGCAUAAUAAUAAUAAUAACAACUUGCAUGCGCACUAAUCAUACAUGCAAACCAACUUGAACAACAUGCUUGACAUAAUUCAACGAUUAUAAAAGUCCAUAACAUGAUAGUUCAAUAGAAUCUAUAAAGCAUAAUUCAAUUCAUAACAUGCUCAUUCACAUAGAUUCAACAAUAAUAACAACAUGCUUGUUCUCAAUCAUUAAACCUGAAUUCAUAACAACAUAAUUAUUCCCAAUCAUCAACAUGAAUUCAUAACAUCAAAAGUUUACAUGAUUCGCAUUCAAUACACUUCAUAAAGUCCUCAAGGGAUGGGUGGUCACCCUAGUCUUGUACGUACCUGGAAUACCUAAGUACGGGGGCCACUGUGCGAAUCACGACUCACUAGAAAUCAACUCCUAUAAAACAAAAUAUAAGAGAACUAAAUUAUUAUCCAUGUUUACUAA